rnacentral:rRNA from 1 species
UACGUAGGGUGCGAGCGUUGUCCGGAAUUACUGGGCGUAAAGAGCUCGUAGGUGGUUUGUCGCGUUGUUCGUGAAAACUCACAGCUUAACUGUGGGCGUGCGGGCGAUACGGGCAGACUGGAGUACUGCAGGGGAGACUGGAAUUCCGGGUGUAGCGGUGGAAUGCGUAGAGAUCCGGAAGAACACCGGUGGCGAAGGCGGUCUGCUGGGCGAGUGGCUCGCAAGGAGCCAAUAGCCGACACUGAGGCGCGACAGCGUGGGGAGC